CGCUAGCGUAUCUAGUCUAUGUAUAUCUGUGGUCUGCACGUCUGGUAGCGUCUCUGGCUGCUGUUGAUCUUGGUUUUGGAGUAAAACACGGUGGAAGCUGAAUUAGUGAGGAUGACUCCUGCUCCUGUCAUCUCUAAGCUCCUCACACAUCUUUACCUGCACAUGAGGAAAAUCACUCCUGUAGAAUGCAGUGGUUCAUCAGAACCUCUGGGGAUGUCCUGUGGAUUCUGUGGAUCCUGUGGGUUGCAGGGUGGAUCCUACCUAGACCAGGCUGAUCCUGGACCAUCCCACAGAUGCUCAAUCAGAUCUGGAUGUGGGGAGUGUGGAACCCAGAUGUUCAGAGGGAGAUGAUGCCACAUCUGGUCCAGCUGAUGGAAGGUCUUGAAGUUCUCUGACUGGCCUCGACUGAAGAUGGUCGUCUCACUGGAUUUAAGGUUCAGAUGCUCAGUAACAAACUCCACCAAUGAGCCAACAGGGAAGCUUUAGGUUUAUUAAAUGUUGCUAUGAAGGUAUCGCUGUUUUUCUUUGUGAAUGCAAUGUGUUCCAACUGAAACUUGAAUUAGAACUUAGAAGUAAAUCCUUCCAUCUGAAAGGAUUUAGUUGCAUUAAUAACCUCAUAACAUUCUAAUUUUUAUUCCAGUCUUGGUUGGAAAUAGAAUCUCUGUAUUGAUUCAGGUAAAAACUGAACUUCACAGCAUGUUGAAGCAAAACAACCAGAUGAAAACUGUGAUGGUGUUGGAUUGUCAGACUGUAAUGUUGCAGCUCAAAGCAGCUUUUCUAGCUCAGUUCAGUUCAGUUGGAGCUGCUUUGCACUUUUUACACUGUUUAUUCACCAACACUUUAUUUAAUAAAAGUCCCAUCUAGUUUUUAUGAGGAAUGUGAUGUUUUAAUUUCUCUGUGAAUAACUGCAGUCUAAUGCAACAGCUGGAAUUGUAACAUCUGUCCUGAUAUUGAUCAUGAAGUAUUGAUCAGAAUACUUAUGGUUAGCAGUCAUCCCUGAAGUUUUACAUUAAAAUCUUUACUUGUGUUGUGAACUUUGGUAAGAAGCAGAAACGUUAGCGUUGCCAUGGAUACAUGAGUGUUAAAUUCUGUCCAUGUUUCCAUUUUGGGAAAUUCAGUCCAGUUCCAGAAUGUGGAGGAAUUUAGUCUCACAAUCACAGACAACAAAUAUUAUCUGAAAGUCGGGUUAUUGUUGUUUAUCAGCACAAUACAAAAAGAUUAAUGUUAGAAAUAUUCCAGUUCAGACUCUAGAAUAUCAUGAUUUAUGUAAAUUUACCUCAAUAAUAUGAAUGUUCAGGUUAAGAUUGUACAGUGAUAUUUAUUAUGCAAGUUUAGCUGAUUAAAGUUUAUGACUCUGCACUAAAAUAUUAUUUAAAUUGACAUCAUUAUUAUAAUAUUAAGGGUCAGACCCUACAGUAUUGAGAUUAAGAAAUCAAAUAUUCUAUAAAAUGUAAAUACACUGAACUCAUUUGGAUAUAUUUAAGUGAGACUCUACAAUAUUAUUUGACACAAAUCUAUCUAAAUCAAAAUUUUAAUAAUUUUCACGCCGAACAUUUACUGGACUGAUUUAAACAUUAAAAUCACUCCUUUCUAAUCCUCUGCUGUACAUUCAAACCUGAGGCCUUAAAUAGAAACACACAAGUAUCUGAUUGAAGGAACUUCUGCAGAGUCCUGGUUCCAGAACAUGAUGAUAGAAUUAUAGACAAACUUUAACAAAAGCUGCCUGAGAGUUUACAGGUUUUUAUGUUAGAUUUCUUCAGUAAUUUAAUGAGCGUUAUCAGCAAAAAUCAAGUGUUCAUUUGAUGAACUUCAUUUCCUAAAACAUCCAGACUUGGAGCUCAUAUCUUUGGCAGCUGUAAAGUUUCUGCUCCUUCAAAGUUCACAACACAAUGAAUGAAUUCCUGAAACGCUCUCAAUGCUGGAGAGCGUUUGUGAUGCUGAAGCAGUGAUCAGUUUUUCUGUUUCUUCUCUGGAGAUGCACAAUGAGGGACGUCUGCAGAGACUGAGAAAGAGUCUCACCACAUCCUGACAUGAGGAAAAAGACUUUAUUGAAGACUACAAUGAGAAAAACUAUCAGACAGCAGACGGCUGCAUUCAAGUCUGUAGCUGCUGAAUUCAUGGAUGAAUCAUCUGGCACUAGAGAGGAAGACCAUCAAACAUCCACGUCAGCUGAUGGAGGUCCAAGAGUCUCACCGAACAACCAACCUACAGAGUGAAGACCUCAAAUCUGAUUGGACGGCCUCCUAUUCAGCCACGUGUGAACAAAUGCCUCUAAGUUGAUUUAUUUUCUACAAUAAAUCUAGUUUGAGUCCUAAUCUAUGCCUGAGUGUUUGCUUCUUGACACCGCUGUUAACAGUUUAGGCUGUUAGAUUGUUCCAGAUAAGACAAGUACAAGAUUCUUCAGAGGC
ensembl:lncRNA